GAUGAACGCUGACAGAAUGCUUAACACAUCAGCAACUGAUUGGUGGCGGACGGGUGAGUAACGCGUAAAGAACUUGCCUCACAGGUAGGGACAACAUUUGGAAACGAAUGCUAAUACCUAAUACUGUGAGAGAGCUUUGCGUCCCAUUAGCUAGUUGGAGAGGUAACGGCUCACCAAGGCGAUGAUGGGUAGCCGGCCUGAGAGGGUGAUCGGCCCCAAGGGGAAUUAGACACGGCCGUUAGUCCUACGGGAGGCAGGAGUGUAAGAGAUAGGAAGAUUGACCCAAGUCUGAUGCAGCAAUUGUGUGUGUACGACUUAGCUUGCGGCAGGUAGAUAGCCUGCAGUUGGAAAGCUGUACCCACAGAAGAAGCGACGGCUAAAUACGUGCCAGCAGCCGCGGUAAUUC
rnacentral:rRNA from 1 species